rnacentral:rRNA from 1 species
UGCCAGACUCCUACGGGAGGCAGCAGUGGGGAAUAUUGCACAAUGGGGGGAACCCUGAUGCAGCGACGCCGCGUGGGUGAAGAAGUCAUUCGUGACGUAAAGCCCUAUCAGCAGGGAAGAAAAUGACGGUACCUGACUAAGAAGCCCCGGCUAACUACGUGCCAGCAGCCGCGGUAAUACGUAGGGGGCAAGCGUUAUCCGGAUUUACUGGGUGUAAAGGGAGCGUAGACGGCGGUGCAAGCCAGAUGUGAAAGCCCGGGGCUCAACCCCGGGACUGCAUUUGGAACUGUGCUGCUAGAGUGUCGGAGAGGCAGGCGGAAUUCCUAGUGUAGCGGUGGAAUGCGUAGAUAUUAGGAGGAACACCAGUGGCGAAGGCGGCCUGCUGGACGAUGACUGGCGUUGAGGCUCGAAAGCGUGGGGAGCAAACAGGAUUAGAUACCCACGUAA